rnacentral:rRNA from 1 species
GCGCGUAGGCGGAUAGUUCAGUUGGGGUGAAAGCCCGGGGCUCAACCUCGGAACUGCCUUCAAUACUGGCUAUCUUGAGUACGGGAGAGGUGUGUGGAACUCCGAGUGUAGAGGUGAAAUUCGUAGAUAUUCGGAAGAACACCAGUGGCGAAGGCGACACACUGGCCCGUUACUGACGCUGAGGCGCGAAAGCGUGGGGAGCAAACAG